rnacentral:rRNA from 1 species
UACGAAGGGAGCUAGCGUUGUUCGGAAUUACUGGGCGUAAAGGGCGCGUAGGCGGCUUGGUACGUUGGGUGUGAAAGCCCAGGGCUCAACCCUGGAAUAGCACUCAAUACUGCCUUGCUUGAAUUCGGUAGAGGUUGGUGGAAUUCCCAGUGUAGAGGUGAAAUUCGUAGAGAUUGGGAAGAACACCCGUGGCGAAGGCGGCCAACUGGACCGACAUUGACGCUGAGGCGCGAAAGCGUGGGGAUCAAACAGG